ensembl:lncRNA
GGAAUAUUCAGGGCGUACAGACCGAAGGAUUUUUGUGUACUGAGAGAGUUACAAGAGGAAAUUGGUCAUCGCGCGUCAUCUUGGUGGUGGUGAUUCAGGAAGCUGUGAUGGGGGGUCUGCAAGGCACGUGGCUGCCGCCGGCGCUGAGGUUUCUGCUCACUUCUCAGAGGGCGGGCUGUCUUCUAAAAAUUAACGCUCCCUCCACUGCCAGUGAUUCUUCUGCAGUGAGUCACUUCCAGAAAUGAAUAGCCACGGUUUUUUUUUGGAAUGAAUGUUGUGAAAUCCCUCGUUUAUAAUGGCAGGUUUUCAGUUGGUGGUUUUAUCAGAGAGAAUGUCUCAAGAUCAAAACGAAACCUCCUCUUUAAAAGGAAAGAAAGUACUCUCGAUACAGAAAGCAAAAGUACUUCCAGUCUCCUCCUGACGCGCUGUCGCGGAAGGUCUGUGUGCCUGCGUGUGGCGACACACGCCCGAGUAUUAGUACUUGCCUACACUGUAGGAGUCCUUGGAAUUACGGAUUCGUUGCUAGUAGCUGAUUGAUCUCCUGUGAAGAAGGUCGCUAACUACAAGAAAUGUUACGUGUGGUGAGUAGGUGGUGGAUUCUGAAGAUUGUUGCUAACCCAGGGCUCAUCCUCUUUUGAGUCAUGGAUUCAGAGGACUGCUAGCAAGCUCUUAAAUACUUCUGCUUUGUAUGAUUUAGUGGAUGGAACUGCAGGACUCAUAGAAGCCUGUGAAAGGUUUUCAGAACAUGGAUUAAUUGAAUAAUCGUUGAAUCUUUUGAAUAUACUAGUCCCUUUGAGGAAGAAAGGCUAUUUUACUGACGGAAGCCAUUUGUAAGGGGCUUUUAAAAGUUUAAAAAGCCCAGUUACUGCAGUUACUGCCCAUCUGUAUUUAUUUUAACUAUCACUCCCAUUUUCUUGUGUGAAGGAAAUGACUAUAUGGUUUCAACAAAGAAAAAGUUUUGCCAACUCUUUUUAACUGAAGAAACUUCAUCCACGUGUUACUCCUAACUGGAUUUUUGUCUUCCUGACUAUCUGCAAGGGGAAACUACCCCAUGAAGGAUACUAACCCUUCUGGCAGUAUCUGUGAUGUGUCUCAUUCAGAACCCAGUGGGCUCUCCACAGAUGAUUGGCAGUACUUUUAUCUAGAGGGGAAAGAGAAGGAAUCCAGUUACUGGAAACAGUGAGUGCAGCUUCAGAAAUUGUUGUCUCUCCCGAGUGGAGAAGUUGUUUGACCUCCUGACUCAUUUCAUAGGAAUUGGAGAAAACAACCUAGUGUGGUUUUCAUUGUUAGUCCUGGAGGAUUCCAAAAUCUGUGUGUCUGCAAAUGAGAUGAGCUGGAGAAAGGUAGUGUUGGCACUUGCUGUUUCUACUUGCCUGCUCUCCUAAUGGAAUUCAGUCCCUUGCCUCCAGACAAGUCCAGCCUGUUCCUGGGGAUCCCUUGUGUGGCCUUUCAGUGGUUCCAGCACCAGUCUCAGAAGAUCCCAAAGGCCCACUUCACUGCCCCAGACUCCAUCUCUGCCUGCGCUGCUCUGUCUUCCUCGUCUGUUCACCUGCUAAUACCUGUGCAUUCUGAAGAGUCGUCUCAGGUAUCACCUCCUCCACGGAGCCCUCUGCCUUAGGUUAGAUGAUGUGAUGUGAUGUAAUUAGAGGGCGGAGGGAAGUGGGGAAAACGUGAGCACGCUGUGUUAGAACCAGGUCUGUUCUUCCUCUCCCACAAGACGCAAGCUACCUGAGGGGGAGACUUUCCCUCUGUGUCACCAUGUCUGGCUGUCACUGUUGUCACCACUUACAGAAGGAAUCAGGGGAGGCAGAAUAAAAGCAGGCCAGGACCCAGGUCACCGACUUCCUCCUGGGCCUGGCGGAGCUUGGGAAAGAGCUCAGCUAAGCUCCAGGCGGAGUGAAGGCGCAGCAGUCAGGGUGGGUGGAAGGAAGCCUUGCCUCACAGAGCAGCUGGCUAAACUCUCCUUCCUGCCCGCCCUCCAGAUUCCACAGCAGGACCCACCCACCUGUACUGCACACCCUUUUUGACACGUACCCUGAGUACUAUCCAGAGUCUAGGACUCAAGAAUUAUUUCCUGAUGGACUUAAUUAUUUAGCAGGCGAUGUGGCAAAAGCACAUCCUGGAGUGUCUGUUAAAUCAACUGUACUUCUAUUAAAAAAAAAAGACCAGGGAAGGAAAAAAAAAAAAGAUGUGUGUUACUGUCUCUCUGUGGGUAUGAGGCGUUGCGCUGGCCACUGUGGGCAGUCAGAGGGAAGGCCUUCUGGGCCUGCAUGGGGCUGACUGUCCAGCUGGGGAGAGAAUGAGCAUGCAGGCCACGUCGGGGACAAGAUAGCCGGGGUGACCAUGUCACAGGGCAGCAUGUGAUUAAUUGCCAAACAAAUGGCUCAAGAACAUGGUGGUGAUUGAACAUGGUAUGUGCAAGUGCCCCACCCCUCAGCACUUCCGAGCCCAGUGGGCCCUGCCUUCUGCCUCUCUCACCCAGGAGUAACCCCAUUGAUGCGUCUCAUACAGCAUAGGUACUUAGCCAGUCAGGCCAAGUCCUUCAAGCUCAGAUCCCGGCCCGCCUCCCGGCCCCCAGAGCCUCCUACCCUUGAACUCAAAGCUGCAGAGAUGCUCAAGAGAACGUGCCAUCUUGUUUCUGAACAACCCACCUCCCUCCCUUGUCCAACCUUGUCCCUCCUUUAAAACCCUCCUCUUCCUUUAAAACCCAGACUAGAGUUCCUCCAUAAAGCCUGCUGAGCCCCUUGCGUGUGCUGGAUGGCAAUGCGCACGUGAGUCUGUCCUGCGGCAGGAGGAGGGAGGGAGGUAAACUCCUGCCGCAGGGUCCUAUCUCUUCUCCUCACACUCUGAGCACGUGUCCCGUGUUUGUCAUUGACCAAAACACAUUAGCACUGAGCACGCAUCGGUUGGUUCUGCAGUUGAGACCUGCGUGCUGGUGAGUGCAGAAGGUGACAUGGCCAAGCGGUCCAGGGAGGCUGCACACAGUAGGGAAGGUUGUGCACCUUAAAGGUUCCGUUCAGAGAACAGGCAGAGGGCGAGGAGAAUCUGAGGUGGGAUAGCCCUGUGUCUGACUGCUGACAGCCCAAUCGGCCUCUCAAAACAGAAGCACAGAGGAGAGGGAGCGAGCCUGCAGGGCAGAGUGGUGGGGGUGGCUUAUUUUAGCUGGAGCAGAGGGUUUACCUAAAGGCAGGCAGGAGGCUGCCCUGGAGGAAGGGUGGGUGUAAGUGAUGGAAGGUGAUGGGAAGACCUCAAAUGCAGUGGGGUAUCUUGCAGCAGUGGGCACCCUUUGUUACCUGUGAAAACCAUGGUGAUCUAACCAAAGUGGUGUUGAAAGUGGGAGCUGCCCCAUGGCCCUUCCUUCAUUUUAACACCACGGUCCAAGGCCCACCAUCUCGGUGCUGCCCCAGACGCUCAGCACCCACGUGCGAAGCCCCUACACACACACACAGCCUCACCUGGAAACGCUGGGCUUUCUGUAAACAAAGGCUCUGCUUCCGGCACUGCCCUUGACCUGGCUCUGAGCUGUUGAUUCUUUGAGUCCAUUCAGCUCUGCCCUGUCCCUGUACCCUCGUGACUGGCAGUGACCCGGAAGGUGGCAGCGCCCCCGCAGCAGGUGGCCUCCAGAGCUGAGUCACCGCCCUGGGAACAGUGCCCUGGCGAGGCCGGCCCAGGCAAACCGGGAGGUCUCCACCUCGCCCAGCUCUGCAGGGCUCUCAGGCACCGUCGGUGCUCCCGAGAAGGGGGUCCUUUGUGCAUCCUGAGUGUCAUCAAGCUGAUAGGAAAAGUGAAGUAGAGGCCACGGAAGACCAGAAAGGAAACUGUCCUGAUGGUCGUUUCUGGCUGGUGUCUUUGGCAAAGCACAAAGGGUUUUUCUCAACAGUUACAGGGGCUGUGGUAGUUUUAAUUGAACAGACGCAAAGUAUCCAUUGAUGGAUAUCUUUAAGAAUGGAAUGAAGAGGUUUUGAAAAUGUUGGCUUAAGAUUCUGUUUGACCUUGUACAGUAAGAGAGCUCAAGGAACAAAAUGACAUGGAGCCAUAGGGUGCCUAAGCUGCCAGUAUCCUUAGAAAUGAGCAAACGAGGUUUAGGGUUUCUUUUUUUUUUUAAGUUUUCUAUAUGAUUCAUAGAUAUUCUGGUGGAUGUUGUUGUUAUGGUGCUUUCAUUUCAUCCCAGAGAAGAUAAAAAUGCAGUGUUACUCUUGAAAGGAAGGGUUUUUUGUUUUUUGUUUUUUUAGUCUGACUUGUUUACUACAACCAAUGAAUAGAGAUGACCUCAGUCUAAAAAAACCAAGUUAACCAUAAUCUCACUCCUUGCCUGGCAAAAUAAGCCUUUAUCAAGUAGCAAGAGAAGUGCAAGUCUGACCACCAAGUCGUCAUUUCAGCGGAUUAGAUUUUCCAAAAGACAAAAACAGAAGGCUCUCUACGUGUUCACAGCCGAACAGUGGCUCUUGGGAAAUGCUCCCAGCUUACUCAGUUCCUACAAGGCCACAAGUCUGGUGACAAUUAAUCAGACAGCUGACCGAAUGCAAAAGCCAUACACGGUUAACUAUGCUGUGACCACUGAGCUUUCACAGUCAGAGACCACACUCUGGCUUUCUGAGUAUGCAGUUCUUUAACUUAAAAGGCUUCAUUUUUUACACUUUACACAUCGUGAGCCUAGUUAUUCUCUACUGCUGAAGUGUCCCUGAAGGUAGAAUCCCAGUCAUUUUCUUGGGCAGAUUGUCUUGAGCACUGGGUGUAUUUCCUUGCUCUGACAAGCCUGGGACAGUUUUCAGCAAGGCCAUGGAACUCACUACUUAGUUGCCAAAGAGGCUGUGAGCUGUGACUAGGAAGUUGGGUUUUCUCUAUUGUUUUAUUUUCUGUGAACCACACAAAAAAAUAUGGACAGUCAAAAGUGUUCCCAGUUUCUCUGAGGCAAGAAGAACUGAGGCGAAUUCUCCUAGAAGCCAGAACCAUGUCCUGAUUCCUACAGCCUCAAUAAAGGCCAAAUCAAAACAGAUUUGAAAGCUAGCGGCCAGUUGAUUGUAGGAUCCAUUCCAGCCAAAAAGAAUCUCUAGACUCACUGGAUUGGGGCAUGUGGUUUAGGGGGAGGAUUUUUUAAUAAGACCGCAGCUUUAUUCUUUAUUUUUUGACCAGUCUGGAGGGAGAACCAAUCUGUUUUGUGGGUAGAGAUUGCAAAAAAAAAAAAAAAAAAAAAGGCAGUGCCUUUCUGGUGACUGUACAGAAAGGUUAAUGAGCACUGGCCCCAAGCGCGGCCUGCCCGCCCUUAAGGAAGCCUGGAGCAUCAGAGUCAGAAGGCUCCACAGAAGCACUCAGGGCCCGAGGAGUUAAAAAGGCAGAGACAGCCAGUCAGCAAGUGCCCGCCUAGGCACGGAUUUGUUUAUCCUGCCCUUCUGAAGUCAGAGCCAACAUUCUUCAUGGUUUUGGAUGAUUCAGAAUGCUUCUCUCUUGGCAGGGCCACUGUGCACACAGGGGCUUACGACUGAAGCCCCUUAGGUGUGGGCCAGGGCAGAGACCCACCUCACACUUGAUGUCACAGCUUAGAAUCCUCUUAUAUUAGAGCAGCAGGGAAACUGUCACAUACAGCUGCCUGUCUCAGAGGUGAAGAGACUGAACCCGGGGCCCGGGGCGUGCCAGAGGUCACUGCGUGGGAAGGCAAGGCCAGCGAGAGCCAGGCCACCCUCCUCCCACCACACAGCUCCCGUCCAAGCCCGGUGGGAGAGGCCGCUGCCCUUUGAGGAAUGCUUAGAAAAGGACUUAGGUCAGAAAGAAGAACCUCAUUUUUACAAAGUGAAACAAGUCAUUUACUUGUCACAGGCAGCUUUCCCCAAACCUCCUCUGUCCAUGUGGUGAAUGUAUUAUCUCCUGGACUUCCAAAAAUAAAAAUAAUAGCAUUGCUGUCUACGGGCCAAAGUGGGAGACUUGAAUAUACCCGCCACUGCCCCCUGCCACUUCACUUUUUCUUUUUCUGGAUGAGAAUUAACUUAUUUCACGGCUAGUUCUUAAUAAAACAAACGUUGACUCCUUCCCACAGGAGACAGAAUUGAGCAAUGUUCUCUGAGAACACGCUGUGCUCCUUGGAGCCCUGAGUGAAUGUGAUGUUUAGAAGAUGCUCUAGAAGCUUGGAAGUGCCUCUUGGGAAUAGAGUGAAGGGGGUGGAGACGGGUAGUGAAGCCACCGCGGCUGCCCCAGAGGAGCAGUGACUCACCCCGCCUGCCUGGCCGGGGACUUCAGGCCUUGAGACGCCCACACAGGCAAGGACUCAGUUCCCCUUGAGCCCCGACAUGAACCUGUGACCUUUAAUGGACGCACAGGCCAUCUCAGCGUCCACAGGAACCACAGAGAAGGACGCAUCAGGACCCUGGCUCUCCACCAGCAGCCUCCCCGAGCCCCUAGGCAGACGGCGCUGAGAGUAUCUGUGUAAGGACAGCACCCUGAACUAAGAAAUGGAGCCACUUACCCGAGGAGGAAAAGCCACAGGAAGAUUUCCGCCCGAGGCCUCCUGGGGGCAGGUGCCCCUCUAGGUGGCCCGCAAGCAGCCGUCACAUCACGUAUGACUUUGUUAACAGCUCGGCCAUGGCAUUACCAUGACAGGAAUAUCAAUUAAGCAUGUCCGACAGGAUCUGCUGGUGGGAGGAGCUGCCCAUAGUGCCAGUAAGUGCCACCUUCCCUCCUCCCAGGCCUGGAAUUCGGGGUGGGGGACUCAGCUUGUGUUGAGCUUCUAAGGAUGAUUUUAGGGGAUAAAUAAUAAUGCUUUCCUCUCCACCACUCGUAUUGUCUUCAUUUUUAAGAGAGACAAUGUAUUUUAAAAAGAGCCAAGAAUAAGCGUUCAGUCGUGUCCCCAGCGGCCUUUCCCAGUCAUUGAGGGUGCUGGGUCUCCACAUGCUGCCCCAAGGGUGGGGGCACCCAGCAGGGGCCUGGGCAGUGGUUUAACAUACUGUCUACCACUGAGUUUUAAAACCCUGGCUUUGUUAUGUUUGUGUGUCCUUAAAAAAUUAGAAUCUAGCAAAUGUUUCAAAUUUAAGCCACAAGUAAAAUUUUCCUAGCCAAAAAUUACAUGGUAAAGCUGGAGAAACAGAACAGAAAGCCACUCCGGGUUCUCCUUAAGGUUUGUGCGUUUGUGUUGGGCUCGAAGGUGCUUCCAGUCCUGUGAGGCGAAGCAAGGGAGGGUGUGUGGCGUGUCCUACCCACCUGCAGUCAGAGGUGGGCCACAACCCCGGCCCUCUAGACAGACAGGGAUACCUGUACACCUUGUACAUCAAGGCAUCCCGAGAAAGGGCUCCCAGAAGGACCCAACCACCCUCAUUUCCUCUUGCCCACACCUCUGCAGAUGUGGAGACUAGGAGGCCCUGGGAAAGCUUAUUAUCCUGACCCUGCAGUCCAGGGCCUCAGCUUUGGGUCCCCGUAGACCCUAGAGUCUCCUCUGUCCUGGUACCUAAAGCCCACUUUGCCCAUUAGUCUGGGCCCCUGCGAGCCCGCCGAGGCUAUGAGGACUGGGACCCUGGCUGGCUCACUUUGUGUCUCCAACCUAGUGCUUCCCACGUAGAGUCCGACAAACACCUGUUUCUUCUGUUCUUCAUAAAUUUCAUGUUUUCUCUCGUCUCAGCUGCCACCUCGGAUCUGACUUUCACUGUGUGUGUGCACGCGCGUGUGCAUGUGGGGAGGGCAGAAUGCACACAUGAACUGGCUCUUUCUCACACACAGCAAUCCUGCGCUGCCUCAGACGUCUUGUAGUCUAGUUUCCUAAAGUUCCCACGUGCAGUGGCUUUCCCCCAUGCUCACUGACGUCACCACCGCCCACCCCACCACCUGCCACACUUAACUCGAUGUCAGCAUCCCUGCCCAUCCUUCACCUGCCCGGGCCACACCUGUGAAGCCCAGCUCAGAACCCAUUCCUCUUCGAACCCCACGCCUCCACCACCCCCAGCCAGCUCCAUGCCCAUCCAGCCCUGAAUGACUGGAGCGCUGUCCUCUGUGUGCACUCUGAAGUACUUACCCAUUCUGUAUGUGAGAGGUCAUUCCACACUUACAUUGUAUGGUCACGUGCAGGCACACCGCAUCAUCUGGUGUCUGGCCCAGUGCUGGGCUCUGAGGAGGCGAUCAGGGAAUGCCUGCUGUUUGGUUUUGAUGUUUCUGUCUUCAUUGUGCUAAGUCCUUUCGGUCGUGACUGACCCUUUGCAACCCUAUGGACUACAGCCCGCCAGGCUCCUCUGUCCAUGGGAUUCUCCAGGCAAGAAUACUGGAGUGGGUUGCCAUUGCCUUCCCCAGGGGCUGUCUUUGCCAGUAGUACUGAGGAGUGACUUCCGGCCCUGGAGCACUGCUGUUGUCAGUCCCUCCACGGAAGACGUGAUUGUCCCAGCCCCUCCCUUGGACGUGGUCCCAAGUUGGCCCCACACAUGCUGUCUUCCUUUGGGGCCCUCGCUGUGUCAUCAUCUCUUUGUUUACUUACAUUGGACUUACCUGCCAUAUUUGCUCUUGUGUCCUCUGAGCCUCAUUCACCUCCUGGUACAUUGUCAUCUUGGUGAAACUGUGACGCAUGACUAGAUGGAUGGACGUAGUUAGAAGAUUCCCAUCCCAGUUUCGGAUUGUACGUCUCUUCUCUUCCCUGACUGUUGACUCCUUGUCAACAUCCCUUGGCUUAUGUGCUACCCUUUCCCUCCAGAGAAGCCCCCGAUCCACAGCCUCUAUGUACUGAUGUCCAAUCUGAUUUCAUUGUUUCACGCCAACUCUAACAUAUUGAUCAUAACGCCUUAGGCAGUGUUAUCCAGAAUACAUGAGCCAUCUCACAGGGAGGGGAAUGUGGGCGUGAUGGGGUGGUUGACAUUUGAAGAGCUGUGUACCUACCAUGUGUCUUAUUUGAGUAAGCUAUAUUUACACAACUCUGAGAAUUAAUAGCAUUUCUACUUUAUAAAUGAGGGAACUAGGCUGCCCCAGUGACUCAGAUGGUAAAGAAUCCGCCUGCAGUGCAGGAGACCUGGGUUCAGUCACUGAGUUGGGAAGCUCCCCUGGAGGACAGCAUGGCAAUCCCAGUAUUCUCGCCUGGAGAACUCCAUAGACAGGAGCCUGGCGGGCUACAGUGCAUGGGGUCUCAAAGAGUCAGACACAACCAAGCAACUAAGCACACAGCACAAGGCUUAAACGGGUUAAACAGCUUGUCCAAGCUGCGUAACAAGUGUCAGUGGGAAAACCUGAAUCCUGGUGUUUUUGAUCUCCAAGCUUAUAUUUUUGUCUCUCUGUUCCCAGUUUAAAUGGACCAUUAAAUGGGAGGUUGCUUAAUGGCACUUGAGAUGGAAAAGGCAGUACAGAAGUACUCACUCAAGAUGAACUAAUGCUCACGAGGAAAGGCCAAGACAAGGAAAAGAUACUGGUAGACUGAUUCUGGGAAGGGAUUGACCAGGACCAGCUUCUAACACCUUAAAGGUUCAAGAGAAUGACCUAAGAAGACCACCUUUGGGGGCUUCUGUGGCAGAGGCAUGUCAGUGGAAAGUGUAGGCUGGCCCCGGACUGCUCCCCGCCCCCCAUUCUAGGAAAGCAGCAGGAAUCCGAGUGAAGUAUGCUGUCCCCUUGGUGAUGGGCUGGGGACCAGCCGCAGCCUUGUGCUGAGAUGAGAGCAGCUGGUAGGAGGCACUGUCCUCCUGUGCUCAUGGGAGGCAGAGGGUGGAGAUGUCAAUGGAAAUGCCUCUGGCACACUUAUAUCCUCAUGGUUGAAAACCCUGGCAGCAACUUACAUACUCUUCUUGACCAAAUUCUUUUCGUGCUCUGGUGUCCCUACCUGCAGUUGAUGCCCACACGUCUAAGGAGGCUGCAGGCACAGGGCACAGAGUGCUCCCAUGGUCCUCAGAGGAGUGACCACCAGGGUGGGAGAAGCAUCCGCAGAAUGAGGCUUUAUCUCCAGCUCUUGCAGGAAGAGGUUAGCUGAAGUGCUUCCCAGCACCUAAAAUGAACUACUCAAAAUACUUUUCCCAGAUACUGGAAAGCCCCCAGUUAACAGUCUGAUUGCACAUCUCUGUUAACCAUCUCAAAGGGAAAGAGCUCCUCUCCGACUUGGGUCCUGUCCUCGUGUUUAUGAGUAGGCGAUUUCGGAAGCCGCCAUCACACAUGGUAUUUAACUAUCCCAGAAACGUGUGUGACUCCGUGGUGGCUGGAAUUUUGUGUUCACUCUGAUAAAUCUUCCCACGUGUUCUCCAUUUGCUUGCCUUUUUAGAUUGUAAGCACAACAGAAAAUAUCUCUAUGUUUCACCUAAAAUAUCUCUGUAAUUCAUCUAUAUCUCUAUGAAUACAUCUAUUGCUUUUUCUCAGCUGUUUCUCUUACUGUCAAGAUGCUCUUGGACUCAACCCCGACUCUGAAGGCCCUUCCUGGCAUAGUGUGUCCCUGUGCUGAGGGCACCAUGAGGCACCCAAGCACUGUCCCUCCCCCUCAGAAGCACUGGGCCGAAAGGCUGCUCCCGGGAACCAGGUUCUGACGUGUCCUCUGAUGAGCCAGCUGCUCUCUGCCUCCACUAUGUUGACAUUCCUCCUGCAAAGGGUUGUAGCCAUUAACUUAAGACAUUUCACUAGGCGGUCACUUGCCAAGACAGACUUUCCGGCAUGGCACUGCUGAGUCACUCAGCCUCCCACUGGCUGAAACGUGAAGGCUUGAGAGCCAGGUCCUCCCUAGGUGAACUCUCCUGGAAGCUGCUCUGAAGCCCCCGGGGGAGUCCGGCAGGUCCCACGUGCAGACUCAAGCCUUACCUCAAACCACCAGAUUUUAGGAACCUGGGCUCCCACUCCUCCUGUGAUGUGGUGAAAGAUGCAUUCCACCCCUCAAGUUAGAUCCCAAAGGGGACAGUGUCCCUGGAACCUGAUCUGGGUUGUCCGCCUGCUUCCGAAGCAGGGAAGAGGUCAAAUGUGCAGACCCGUGCUGCCCUCUGCUGGCCCUCUGGAGUCUGUGCCGCUGCAGCCCACAGUGGCAGAAACCAGUUCUGAAAACAUUAAUAGGAGCCUUCUGUGCAGGCUGCUUUCUUGCCCUUCUUGAUUAGAGGUAGAGGGUCACUACAGUGUUUUAGUUCAUAAGACGUCUACCUGAACGCACCUUGAUGGGCAGCAAAAUGCACAGCCCUGUGUCUGCGGACAGUCUCCUUAGCAGCAGCCGCACCACCUCCACAGAGAGAGGAGGUGUGUACCACUUGGUGGACAGAACCCUCUCAAACUGUGUGUCUUAAUUAAGCAGGAUGCAGAAGGUGCUCCUUACUCCCCUUCUCAAAAACUCAUCUCUGAGUAAGAAGAGAAAACGCCUGACUUUGUUCCUCUGUGGCUCUGGGAUGUUCCCUAAGGGCUCAUACUGUCAUUUAAAUUCUAGGUGCUGAUCUUCUGAACAAACGCUCCCUGAGGAUUUCUGUGCCUGGAACUUCUCCGUCAACAGACUGCUGUGACACCUAACGUAAGUAGAGGCUCUUGGUCCUAAAUCAGUCUCAAGGGAGCUUUGUUCUGUUUUGAUCCUGGAGGAUCCCCCCAGUAAAAUUCUUUAAAUGGUCAUCAGUGUUCCUUCUCUGUUUCUUUUCUCGGAAACACUCAACUUCCGAUUUACUAUCAGAAAAAGUCUAUGACAUGAACUCCUGCUUAGAAGCAAGGGUAUGGGAUCUCAUAUUCAGGUAUUAGAAUGGGAAGAGGAGGAGGCAGAAAAUAUUAAAGCUGCUCACUCCAGGCAGUUCCGUUGGAGAUGCCAUUCGUAGGUCCAAGGGCAUCUUUUCAGGGUUUAGUACUCACCAGACUCCUGUGCGAAGUGACUGUGGAAACGUGCCCCAUACAGCUCAGGGGUGAGCCCCCGUGAUGUGGGGGCCCUUCUGUUUGGCAGCCGUGGCUGAUCUCAUAGCCACAUCUCCGCUUAUAACAUGCAAAACGAAAACCUGUCUCUUGUUUGUAUCAUCGUCACCAUCACUUACUGAAUGUAUACACGUGCUGUUUCUAAUUCUGCUCGCUUCUCGUCGGUCUUCACCCUCACAUCAGCCUUCGUGGUGUGGGUCCUCGUAUUACACAGGUGUGACUCCCAGAUGGGGAGACCGAGGCAUGGAGAGUCAAGUAACAUCCCCCAGGUUGUACAGGGAGCAAGUUUCGGCUCCACAAGUCUGCGUUGGGCUAGCACACCAAAUGCCCCACAGAAACAGGCAGCUUUGGAGGACGAGCAGUGGGGCUGUAUCUGGAGACAGUUUUAGCACUGCCACAAUCCCCUGUGGGAAGGGGCUACUGGACUUAAAAAAGCCUGGAGCUUCCUUAAGAUUAGUGGGAGAACAAAGCUUUAGAGAAGACCUAACUUAAGUUUAAGGUCACGCUGCAAGUCAGUGUAGCUGAGGGCCCUGGGCCAAACCCUACCGAUUUCCGAGUUUUCGCCUUCCUCUUGGUCAUUAAGUGCCACUUACUCUGCUAAUAGUGACCAAAGCUGGUUUCAGUGAUUUUCGUAUGUGCUUAUUGGUGAAACCCUGUAGCUCAGAGCCAGUUUGUUCAGAGAUCCACAUGGCCAUGUGAAGAUUGGCUGUUACAGUAUCCGAGCAGCAAAGAAGGAUGACUAAAAGCCUGGGCCUGGAAUCAAGCAAAGUGGUCUGAUCCCUCGUCUUGUUAGUCCUAAGCUUUUUGACCAGAGCAAGUCCUGCACCCUCACUAAAUCUCUGUUCCUGCACCUGGAAACUGGAAAUAAUUCCACAGCCUUGUAGGCGGAUGAACAUGAGAAAACGCAUAAAAAGCACGUAGCACAGUGUUUGGCCCAGAGUAAGUCUUCCAAAAGUGGAAGCUAUUACUCAGAGAACCUUUGCGUCCACUUUUGGUUCAUGUUGGCCUUCCCCCUACAAGGCACUGCAGUGUUCCAACCCAUCUAAGAAAACAACAUUUGAGUGCAGUGCUUUAAAAAUUACAGAUGUUUCCUCAUACUGAAAUCCCGAUGCCUCUAAGAACCACUGUAGGACAGGAAUCUGUAACUCCAUUCUCUAGAUCGGCAUAAGAAGGCUCAGCAAAAUUAAAUGAUGGCCCAAGAUUCCACAGCUAGUUGAUAGCCCAGCGCCAGAUCCUGAGACUCUUAUUCAUCCACUUUCUGUAAGAAAAUACUCAUUAAAGGCACGUAAGUCAAUAGAGAACCACCUCCCACCAUAGGAUCCAGCAGCUUCCAACCGAUAAGAGAGUUGUAUCUUUAGUUCUAAAUAUUCAGGCUAGGACUCUCAUAUCCUGAUGUCUGUUAACAUUUUGAAGCUACCUUCUCAAAGUGUCAUAGUCAGAUACCAUCUCCUUUUGCAAUCCUCAGGCCCCAAGGGACAUUAUCUUAAUCUGGUUAGCUCGUGCAAGAACCAACUGGCUUUUCACUUCAAGGAAGACAACAUGUUUCCGCUGUUCUGCUUUUGCCACACAGGAGUUACCGGUGUGGCUCACUGAUUCACAUUUCUGGCUCUAACUUUCCUAUCAUCUGGAAGAAAAAAUACAGAGAAGGGCAACUUGUUCAAAAACAGCAUGAAGCCAGCCUGCCCACAGACCUCUUCGAAGAAAACCAACCUCUUGCUUUAGAAGAUUAUACACAGAGGCCCAACUCAAGAUCUCUAGUUCACAGUAUUUUGGCUUAAGUCAUUUUACAGUCACCAACUAAGUACCUCGGUUUGCUGCUUAUUACAAAAUUCAGAGAAGUAUACUACAUGACUGAUCCCUGUGCCGAUUACCCUGUGUCUGCUGGGAAUGCCUCCUCAUGUGGAGGGAUAUACAUGGGAAAGGAUAUAUCCACCUUUGUUUUUCUGCUGAAUUUUUUAAAAAAUAUACUUAAAGGAUAACACAAAACUUACCUUAUCUCUUUGUUUCUGCUAAGGGAACAGAAGAGAGUGGUUUGUAAUAUAGUAUGUGUUAUGUAUGUGCAUGAAGUGCCUGGGUGGGUUUGACAUAUAUUUGAUGUACAAGGUGUAUGUGAUUUUAUUAGGCGUAAGUAACAAGGAGCAAUUCACUCUUCACUUUUCUUCAGGAAAACGUUUUCUCCAUAACUGAAGUGUCAGUCAUUUGAAAACAAAACAAAACUUCUCAUUGGCAGUAGGCAAAAGCUGUAACUAGUCACUUGUAAAACAUAAGCAGACCUUUUUGUUCUGGAUUUUGGUUUGUUUUUUUUUUAACCAAAAAUGAUGAGAACAGUCUGGCUGCAUCUUGCAUAUUUCAGUCACUGUUAUUAUCAAUUACAAUAGGAUAUCCAGAAGGAACAAAAUUAGUGACAUAGUUAUUUGAGAAUGCCAGUGAUUACAUGUGUCUUGGCUCUUUUGCGGGUUUAAAUGCUUGAAUUGACUCUCCAGUUGAAAUAUUUAACUGCCUGUCACUUCACAAAAUAUGCGCAUUCCUUUGCAGUAACUUUGAUGAAAUGAUUGCUACCCAGCUCUGCAGCCCAAUAGUAUUCUAUUUCCUUAUUUAAAGAGAUGAGAAAACUAGCCUAGUAGCAGUAGGCACAUACACGCAGCUUUUCCACUGUAAAGAUGAGUCUGUGUUUCGAUCUCCUGAUGAAGGGGUCAGUGGCCAAGCCUGUCAAGGAUGAGAAUGUGAGCUGAACUCCCUGCCCUGCUUUAUUAACAUCCUGCUGAGCCCACCUGGAAUCCUCAACCACAGGCACCUUUAAUUGGAUGUUCUUCCCAUUCACUUGAUGUAUGAGGCUAGUCAAGAAGAGCUAAGUUUCUGUUAAUUAAUCUUUAAGCAAAGAGAGCAGAGUUGAGUGAGUGGUACAGCCAAGAUUCAAACCCAUUCUCACAAGAUGAUGCUGACAUGAGAAAAGCAAAAAAGGACAGGGAAAUGUUUUAAGUUAAAAGAAACCAAAGAGUCUUGGUGAGUGAACCUUGAUGGGAUUUGGGGUAGAAAACAACCCAACAAAUCCGUAAAAGAAAAAUUUUUGGAGAAAGUGGGGAAAAUUGGAUAUAGGCUAGACGUUAGAUGAUACUAAGGAAUUGUUAAUUUUCUUCGGUAUGAAUAAAAUAUCAUAACUAUAUGGAAGAAUGGCCCCAUUUUUCUUUAGACCUGCUCAAAAAGUUAGGAGCACAAUGUCACAAUGGUUGCUGAUUCACUUUCAAAUGAUUCAGCAAAAAGUAUACAUAUGUUGUACAUGUAGAUAACAUCACUAAAGCAAAAGUAGUCAAAGUGAACAAUUACUGAAUUUAGGUGGAAGAAAUUUAGGAAUUCGUUCAUUGUCCUUCAAAUGUAACGUGUGUCUGAAAGUUUUCAUAACAGUUUUAAAAAAAGAACGGCACAUCUGUAUCUUCUUGGAUCCCUGGAACCCUAAAGGGAGUGGCAGUAAGCUUCCUAAUAAAUGAUAUCAAGAACGAUAAUGGGAAGGAGAAAAGAACUGCAGCAAAAAAUAAUUUAAGGAGAACCAGGGGUGCAGUGAACAGAGGGGAGCAUAACCUUAAGUAAAGCCAACAGGAAUCCUUAACAAACAGAUGCGAUCUAAGGAAUUCCAUUCUGAAAAAAAACAUUUGGCUCUCAUUAGGGGUCGAAUGGAGUCAGACACGACUGAGCGACUUCACUUUCACUUUUCAGUUUCACGCAUUGGAGAAGGAAAUGGCAAC